UAGUCCACGCCGUAAACUAUGAUCACUUGCUAUUGGCGAUAUACUGUCAGUGGCAUAGCGAAAGUGUUAAGUGAUCCACCUGGGGAGUACGAUCGCAAGGUUGAAACUCAAAGGAAUUGACGGGGGCCCGCACAAGCGGUGGAGCAUGUGGUUUAAUUCGAUGAUACGCGAGGAACCUUACCAGGGCUUAAAUGCAUAACGACAGAUGUGGAAACACGUUUUUCUUCGGACGGAAUGCAAGGUGCUGCAUGGUUGUCGUCAGCUCGUGCCGUGAGGUGUCAGGUUAAGUCCUAUAACGAGCGCAACCCCUAUCUUUAGUUGCCAGCGGGUUAAGCCGGGGACUCUAAAGAAACUGCCAGCGUAAGCUGUGAGGAAGGUGGGGAUGACGUCAAAUCAUCACGGCCCUUACGCCCUGGGCCACACACGUGCUACAAUGGUGAGUACAAAGGGCAGCUACCUGGUGACAGGAUGCUAAUCUCUAAAACUCAUCUCAGUUCGGAUU
rnacentral:rRNA from 1 species